rnacentral:rRNA from 1 species
UACGGGGGGAGCAAGCGUUGUUCGGAUUUACUGGGCGUAAAGGGCGCGUAGGCGGUCGUGACAAGUCACUUGUGAAAUCUCCGGGCUUAACUCGGAACGGUCAAGUGAUACUGUCGGACUAGAGUACAGAAGGGGCAACUGGAAUUCUCGGUGUAGCGGUGAAAUGCGUAGAUAUCGAGAGGAACACCGGUGGCGAAGGCGGCGACCUGGGUAGAUACUGACGCUGAGGCGCGAAAGCGUGGGGAGCAAACAGG